GGACCCACAGGCUAGCCAUCAAGCUAAGGUAUCAGGAUGAGUGUUGGAAAGCCUUGCUAGGAGUUGCUGAUAUUAUAAACUUUUGAGUAUCGUUGUGUGUAAGCACUGCGUUUUAUGUUUGUAAGUUGUAAGAUAUGGAUUGGGAUUUGACGUAUUGUAAUAUAACUUAAGUUGUGGCUUGUUUCAUACUAUAACCUGGAGCGAUCCGUGGAUGUUUAGG
rnacentral:lncRNA from 1 species